rnacentral:rRNA from 1 species
GGGUAGUGAGAGGGAUUCUUGAAACCUAAAAUUUUUGGCGGUUUUUUAAGCUGUUUAGAGGAAUCUGUUCUGUAAUUGAUAACCCGCUUUUGGUUUAGCUUUAAUUGUGGUAUGUAUAUCGCCGUCGGAAAGUAGGUCUAUUUAGGAUUUAUUGUGAGGUAUUAUGAGAAGAUGACAGGUCGAGGUGCAGCUUAUGUUAAAGGGUGAAAUGGAUUACAAUACUUGAUUGGUACACGGAGAAAUGAUGAGAAUAUUUGUUAUUUGAAGGUGGAUUUAUUUGUAACACAAAAAUAAGAUGUUUGUUUGAUGUUAGUUCUAAGAAAUGU